rnacentral:rRNA from 1 species
GACGAACGCUGUCGGCGUGCUUAACACAUGCAAGUCGAACGGAAAGGCCCUGCUUUUGUGGGGUGCUCGAGUGGCGAACGGGUGAGUAACACGUGAGUAACCUGCCCUUGACUUUGGGAUAACUUCAGGAAACUGGGGCUAAUACCGGAUAGGAGCUCCUGCUGCAUGGUGGGGGUUGGAAAGUUUCGGCGGUUGGGGAUGGACUCGCGGCUUAUCAGCUUGUUGGUGGGGUAGUGGCUUACCAAGGCUUUGACGGGUAGCCGGCCUGAGAGGGUGACCGGCCACAUUGGGACUGAGAUACGGCCCAGACUCCUACGGGAGGCAGCGGUGGGGAAUAUUGCACAAUGGGCGGAAGCCUGAUGCAGCAACGCCGCGUGCGGGAUGACGGCCUUCGGGUUGUAAACCGCUUUCGCCUGUGACGAAGCGUGAGUGACGGUAAUGGGUAAAGAAGCACCGGCUAACUACGUGCCAGCAGCCGCGGUGAUACGUAGGGUGCGAGCGUUGUCCGGAUUUAUUGGGCGUAAAGGGCUCGUAGGUGGUUGAUCGCGUCGGAAGUGUAAUCUUGGGGCUUAACCCUGAGCGUGCUUUCGAUACGGGUUGACUUGAGGAAGGUAGGGGAGAAUGGAAUUCCUGGUGGAGCGGUGGAAUGCGCAGAUAUCAGGAGGAACACCAGUGGCGAAGGCGGUUCUCUGGGCCUUUCCUGACGCUGAGGAGCGAAAGCGUGGGGAGCGAACAGGCUUAGAUACCCUGGUAGUCCACGCUGUAAACGGUGGGUACUGGGUGUGGGGUCCAUUCCACGGGUUCCGUGCCGUAGCUAACGCUUUAAGUACCCCGCCUGGGGAGUACGGCCGCAAGGCUAAAACUCAAAGGAAUUGACGGGGCCCCGCACAAGCGGCGGAGCAUGCGGAUUAAUUCGAUGCAACGCGUAGAACCUUACCUGGGUUUGACAUGGAUCGGGAGUGCUCAGAGAUGGGUGUGCCUCUUUUGGGGUCGGUUCACAGGUGGUGCAUGCCUGUCGUCAGCUCGUGUCGUGAGAUGUUGGGUUAAGUCCCGCAACGAGCGCAACCCUUGUUCACUGUUGCCAGCACGUUAUGGUGGGGACUCAGUGGAGACCGCCGGGGUCAACUCGGAGGAAGGUGGGGAUGACGUCAAGUCAUCAUGCCCCUUAUGUCCAGGGCUUCACGCAUGCUACAAUGGCUGGUACAGAGAGUGGCGAGCCUGUGAGGGUGAGCGAAUCUCGGAAAGCCGGUCUCAGUUCGGAUUGGGGUCUGCAACUCGACCCCAUGAAGUCGGAGUCGCUAGUAAUCGCAGAUCAGCAACGCUGCGGUGAAUACGUUCCCGGGGCU